CCUACGGGAGGCAGCAGUGGGGAAUAUUGGACAAUGGGCGCAAGCCUGAUCCAGCCAUGCCGCGUGGAUGAUGAAGGCCCUAGGGUUGUAAAGUCCUUUCGGCGGGGAAGCGGUACCCGCAGAAGAAGCCCCGGCUAACUUCGUGCCAGCAGCCGCGGUAAUACGAAGGGGGCUAGCGUUGCUCGGAAUCACUGGGCGUAAAGCGCACGUAGGCGGACUCUUAAGUCGGUGGUGAAAUCCUGGAGCUCAACUCCAGAACUGCCUUCGAUACUGAGAGUCUUGAGUCCGAGAGAGGUGAGUGGAACUGCGAGUGUAGAGGUGAAAUUCGUAGAUAUUCGCAAGAACACCAGUGGCGAAGGCGGCUCACUGGCUCGGACUGACGCUGAGGUGCGAAAGCGUGGGGAGCAAACAGGAUUAGAUACCCUUGUAGUC
rnacentral:rRNA from 1 species